UACGGGGGGAGCAAGCGUUGUUCGGAUUUACUGGGCGUAAAGGGCGCGUAGGCGGGAAGGUCAGUCAUAUGUGAAAUCCCGGGGCUCAACCUCGGAGCCGCAUGUGAAACUGCCUUCUUGAGGGUAGGCGGAGAAAACGGAAUUCCACAGUAGCGGUGAAAUGCGUAGAUAUGUGGAAGAACACCUGUGGCGAAAGCGGUUUUCUAGCUUAUUCCUGACGCUGAGGCGCGAAAGCAAGGGGAGCAAACAGG
rnacentral:rRNA from 1 species